CUACAUGUAUGAAUAUUGAAGCUCCAGAUCAAUAAUGUUACGAGUGUAGAAAUUAUUAUUAAAAUGCAUAUCCUGAUUGAAUUAUUUAAAGAGAAAUUACUCCAGGGCCCCAUCUUACAAAUAGUUAUGGUAUGAUCGAACCGAUCUACCUCAACUGUAUGGAGAUCCAUUGAUGUCAUAAUUUUUGUCUACAAUUUGUACAGUGUUCUUUGUUGUUAUGUAAACAAAGAGAAGCACACUGAAUUUUUCAAGAAAUGAAUGUAUGAAUUAACAGCAUAUCUAAACACUGUUUUGAGCAAACAUGCAUUUUAGGUGUUGAUGUUGCUGGCUUUCCAUAGUUAUGGUUGAUCGUAUCAAUCGUAACUCUUUGUAAGAUGGGCCCUGGUCACUUUCAAUGUGGAAAGACAGAAAAGAAAAUGCUUAUUUGUUGUUCAGACAGACAAUUGUCGUUAAUUUCUUAAAUUAUUUCCAUUUUAGUGAGUCAGACUUGAGCGGUUGACCUUUCUUCUGUUUUGUGGACUGACACAUUGAGCAUAUCAUUGAUAACGUUUUCAACAACUUACAUCUAGUCAUUCAAUGUGAAGAGAAUUCAUUGAUUAAAAAUAAAGGCAGAGGCUUUGAUUCUUUGUUUCUUUCCUGGCAAACCUAUUAAAGGGGUCUUCCAUUAUUAAAGUUAGUGAAUAAACUUCACAAAUGCAUGCCAUUCAGUUUUGAAGCAUUUGUUGUUGCUCUGCCUGACAAGCUUUCAUGAAAUUUCUGAACAUCUGCUUGAAAUAUGAAUGUUUUUAUUUGGAAAGAUCUGAGAUGGAUAAUCUGUUCCAGUAACACAUACAUGUAUACCAACUUAAUAUUUUCUUAUGGUUGAUUUAGUACUCAAGAAUACUAUGUCAAUAUUUCACUGGAAAUGUCCAUAACUUUUGAUGUACUCUUCAGAAAUUAUGAGAAAUAUGAAGUUUACAUUAAAAACAUGAAGCUUGAGUGUUGGUAAAAGUCGAAAAAGUGGCUUUUGUGUGGAAUUUGAACUCAUCUUAAUAAAUGAGGAGAUGGCAAAAUUUUUGUUUUGAUAAUUUAAUGAACACUUUUGAAACAGUCAUUGAUCUUAAUUUCCAUCAUUGGGGAGAAGCCUUGCAUUAUAUUUUCAUAGAUUAUUCAUCAAACUCAUAGAAAACUGUUAGACAAUUUGGGGAAAAAUGGAGAAUGUUUGUGAAUAUGAAGUGGACCAACAUUGGAAUGUGGGGUAUUUUCCCAACUCUUGUGCAAGAAAAACAAGUAAAGGGGGAAAAAAAUGUGCAUUUGAUUUUAUUUCUUGGAAAGGAGUUUGAAAGUGCUAUCAUCUUUAUCAUUAUACAGCAGCUGUUUAGCACUAUAAUUUUGUUUUGUAUGAUGUAGUUUACAAGUUAUCUGGACAAGCCAAAUUAUAUUAAUUCUUGUUUCAAUUAAAAAUACAUGUGUGUAGAUUUAGCAUUUAGGAUAUGAAAAGUGAUUAAUUCAGCUUUUUAUUUUUAAUAUAUGAUUAUCACAUGUACAUUGGUAUCUUGUCAAUUCAAGUUGAAUCCUUCCUUCAUUUUAUUGACGAGGAGUUAGAGAAGGAAAACCUCCCAUUCCAUAUUAUUGUAUAAUAUUUUAUUUUCUAUUUUAACCAUAACGUUUGAAUUUGUCAUUCUUUCAAAGUUUUGUAAGGGAUUAUUUUAGAAUGAAACAAAGGAAUAUGGUUCCAUUUCAACCACUGCCAUUGUGUCAGCUGACAAGUCAUUUAUAUGCAUUUGGUACUCUCCACCCAGGGGCCUGUAACAUAUACUUCAGUUAUACUGUAGUUUACUAUAACUGUACAUCUGUAUUAAACAACAAAAAGUUACAAUGAUGGUAUCUAUUUGUUGCACACCACAGGUGUUGAUGUACAUGUAAAUUGGUCAAAACUCUCAGCUGGGGGAAAAUUGUCAAAUAUAUGCUUUGAGAGCUGAUAUUGCUACGUGUAGCAUAGCAGUGAUGAGUGAAGGAUCCAUGUUUUAUCAAUCGAUAAAGUAUAUUUAAAAUUUUGAUUGAAACGUUUGUAUAGGUCGUUCACAUAUUUUUCAUAUUUAUUUCAUGUAUAUGUAUUUGCAUUUGAAACGGUAUGUAUUGAAUUUUGAGUUCAUACAUAUGCAUAUUGGAGUUGUUUCCCUUUUAGUGGAUUUUUUUUUUUCAAUUUUGUACUUAUAGAUUCUGUGAUCUAAAUCACUGACGAUUUGGGGGAACCUACAUGAUCCUUCAGUAACCUGAUACUGAAUGAUUAAAUUAGAAACAAAUUUAAAUAUUUUGAAAUUUGAGAAGAUCAUUAUUCAGAUGAGUAAAGUAUUUUAUGUACCAGCCGAAAGAUACUAUAUUAUUAAAAGAUAAAUCAAAAGGCCUAUACAUGGAGAGGCGUUCAAAUUUAAUUUGAUAUAAAUUAUAAGGGUUGGAAUAAGAACUUGACCCUUUUACAUAGUCAGAUUCACAACUCAAGUAGAUAUUAUGAAUGUUACAGAAAUGUGCAAAAAAAAAGAAGAUUAUAACAAAGUAUUGUAUAUGUUUUAGAUUUUCCAUGCAUUUAUUUUAUUUUCAAAGGUAGUCUUACUCUUAUGAGGCCUAGAUGCCUUCAGUCUUAGCCAGUAUUAGAAUGAACUGUAGUAUGUAACUGUGUAUGUAGCAGUUAUUUGGUUAUUUGUGUUUGUUUAUUAGACUAUAAAUAGUCUACUCAGUUGAAUUUCAUUUUUGCUUUUGCAUCCAAUAUAUAUGUUUAAUAAUACUUUUACCUCAUGUUUUGUACUGUAUAUAAUGCUUUGAGAGAAUUUAUUUUUGGCUUGUACAUGUCCCAUGUGUGCGAGAACCUGUCAGAUAAUUAUGUUGCAUUUACUCUUAAUGUCAACCCCCCCCCCCCACCCCUUCAUCUCCAUUUCAGUUGUUUAUUUUGCUUUCACACCUGCUAUUACAAAAAUAGGAGAAAAUACUCGCUACAUGUUUUUGGAAACAUUGAAAAGCAUUCGGUAACAUUACAAAGGUGUUAGUAAACAGAUACUGAUUCCUAUUGUAUUUUACAUUGUUUGUAUGGAUGAAAAAUCAAGGAAGAAA